CGUCAAGAAAAGCCGCUAUUGUUUAUAUCAUACCCGUACCGUAAACCGACACAGGUGGAUGAGGAGAGAAUCCUAAGGCCGACGGGAGAAGCAUUGUUAAGGAACUCGGCAAAAUGACUCCGUAACUUCGGGAGAAGGAGUGCCAGUGAGAACUGGCCGCAGAGAAUUGGCCCAAGCAACUGUUUAGCAAAAACACAGGUCUAUGCAAAACCGAAAGGUGAAGUAUAUGGGCUGACGCCUGCCCGGUGCUGGAAGGUUAAGGGGAGAGGUUAGCGUAAGCGAAGCUUUGAACUUAAGCCCCAGUAAACGGCGGCCGUAACUAUAACGGUCCUAAGGUAGCGAAAUUCCUUGUCGGGUAAGUUCCGACCCGCACGAAAGGCGUAAUGAUUUGGGCACUGUCUCGACAAUGCACCCGGUGAAAUUGAAAUACCAGUGAAGAUGCUGGUUACCUGCGCCAGGACGGAAAGACCCCAUGGAGCUUUACUCCAGCUUGAUACUGGGAUUCGGUAUUGCAUGUACAGGAUAGGUGGGAGACUGAGAAGUAUUUACGCCAGUAGAUACAGAGUCGCUGUUGGGAUACCACCCUUGCAGUACUGGGUUUCUAACCAGCAGCCGUGACCCGGCUGGGGGACAAUGUCAGGUGGGGAGUUUGACUGGGGCGGUCGCCUCCGAAAGGGUAUCGGAGGCGCUCAAAGGUUCCCUCAGAAUGGUCGGAAACCAUUCAAAGAGUGCAAAGGCAGAAGGGAGCUUGACUGCGACACCGACGGGUGGAGCAGGUACGAAAGUAGGACUUAGUGAUCCGGUGGUAUAAAGUGGGAUUGCCAUCGCUCAACGGAUAAAAGCUACCCUGGGGAUAACAGGCUUAUCACUCCCAAGAGUUCACAUCGACGGAGUGGUUUGGCACCUCGAUGUCGGCUCAUCGCAUCCUGGGGCUGAAGUAGGUCCCAAGGGUUGGGCUGUUCGCCCAUUAAAGCGGUACGCGAGCUGGGUUCAGAACGUCGUGAGACAGUUCGGUCCCUAUCCGGCGUGGGCGUAGGAUAUUUGAGAGGAGCUGCCCUUAGUACGAGAGGACCGGGGUGGACUGGCCGCUGGUGUAUCUGUUGCACUGCCAAGUGCAUGGCAGAGUAGCCAAGCCGGGACGGGAUAAACGCUGAAGGCAUCUAAGCGUGAAGCCCCCCUCAAGAUGAGAUAUCCCAACGCAAGUUGUAAGACCCCUUGAAGACGACGAGGUAGAUAGGACAGAGGUGGAAGUGCAGUAAUGUAUGGAGCUGACUGUUACUAAUCGGUCGAGGGCAUAACC
rnacentral:rRNA from 1 species